CCUACGGGAGGCAGCAGUGGGGAAUCUUGCGCAAUGGGGGAACCCUGACGCAGCGACGCCGCGUGGAGGAUGAAGGUCUUCGGGUUGUAAACUCCUUUUCUUGGGGAAAAUGAUGAUGGUACUCAAGGAAUAAGUCUUGGCUAACUACGUGCCAGCAGCCGCGGUAAUACGUAGGAGGCAAACGUUAUUCGGAUUUACUGGGCGUAAAGCGGGUGUAGACGGCUGCUUAAGUCGGUUGUGAAAUCUCCUGACUUAAUUGGGAGAAGUCAAUCGAUACUGAGUAGCUAGAGGGCAGCAGAAGAAAGUGGAAUUCCCGGUGUAGCGGUGAUAUGCGUAGAUAUCGGGAGGAACACCAGUGGCGAAGGCGGCUUUCUAGGCUGUUCCUGACGUUGAUGCCCAAAAGCGUGGGGAGCGAAACGGAUUAGAUACCCGUGUAGUCCACGCCCUAAACGUUGGAAACUAGGUAUGGUGAGUAUCGACCCUCUUCGUGCCGAAGCUAACGCUUUAAGUUUCCCGCCUGGGGACUACGGCCGCAAGGCUAAAACUCAAAGGAUUGACGG
rnacentral:rRNA from 1 species